rnacentral:rRNA from 1 species
CAGCCGCCGCGGGAAUACGUAGGUGGCGAGCGUUGUCCGGAAUUAUUGGGCGUAAAGGGAGCGCAGGCGGACAUAUAAGUCCAUCUUAAAAGUGCGGGGCUCAACCCCGUGAGGGGUGGAAACUGUAUGCCUUGAGUGCAGGAGAGGAAAGCGGAAUUCCCAGUGUAGCGGUGAAAUGCGUAGAUAUUUGGAGGAACAUCGGUGGCGAAGGCGACCUUCUGGACUGUUACUGACGCUGAGAUCCGAAAGCGUGGGGAUCAAACAGGAUUAGAUACCCCCGUAGUCCCUGUCUCUUAUACAC